ACAGACCGGUGUACAGCGACAGCUCCGCUGCGGACUCCGCGCUGUGUCUCCACAUAUCUGCGCGGUCUUCUCACCUCUCCACGAACCCUCUCCGCAAGGUUUCUCCACUUUCCCCUUGACUCUCUGUCUCUCUCCACGGUCUCCACCCGGUGUCUCCAGGCGCGCGCCACCAGUCGCUCCUCGCUGCUCUUUGCGCACGGACACUUCUCCACAUUCCCUCUCGUAUCCGCUGCGUUUAUCAGUCCCCCUCCCCUCUCCACCCCCCCGAAGACUCCAGAGCAGCAGCCACGAACUCGGGCUACUUUCUCUUUUGAGGUUCAGUGAUUAGUUUCGCGUUGGGCUCGAGCUGAAGAACAAUUUGAUUGUGGCUCAUGGGGAUUUAGUGUCGUGACAUGCUUUCGGGACCCGGCGACUCCACAAGGAAAUGGGAGUCUCUGCAUUUAUGGUUACAUGAAUGUCAGCGCUGCAGGCCAGAUGCCGGUGAUGGAGGAGCUUAUCAGUGAGAGCGACAGCAUGCCAAAGCGGAUCGCUCUGAUCUGCUUCCUGUCUCUGGUCAUGCUGAUGAGCAUCCUGGGAAACCUGCUGGUCAUGACGGCCGUCUGCAAGGACAGACAACUCAGGUGGGACAGAGCUUC